rnacentral:misc_RNA from 1 species
UGUCGAUUUUGUAAAAUCACUCCACUUAAAACAAUAGAUGAAACUCAAUGAUUUCGAUAAUGAAAUCGUUCACAAUUUCUGCAUUGUCACGUAACACAUUUGUAUCCUCCUCGGUUGUUGAAAUCUAAUUUCAUCGAUAGGAUAAAUUACCUUUGUCGAUGGUACGACGAGCAAUAACGCUACACUGGUGUGCCAUAUUUUAUUCGGUCGUAGGGACGAACAAAACCGAAAACUGCGGGGACGCGUGGUGAACUGUUGAACGGCGCAGUUUUUCCGAGCGAGCACGACGAGGACGGAAACGCC